rnacentral:rRNA from 1 species
CCUACGGGAGGCAGCAGUGAGGAAUAUUGGUCAAUGGACGAGAGUCUGAACCAGCCAAGUAGCGUGAAGGAUGACUGCCCUAUGGGUUGUAAACUUCUUUUAUAUGGGAAUAAAAUGUUCCACGUGUGGGAUUUUGUAUGUACCAUAUGAAUAAGGAUCGGCUAACUCCGUGCCAGCAGCCGCGGUAAUACGGAGGAUCCGAGCGUUAUCCGGAUUGAUUGGGUUUAAAGGGAGCGUAGGUGGAUUGUUAAGUCAGUUGUGAAAGUUUGCGGCUCAACCGUAAAAUUGCAGUUGAAACUGGCAGUCUAGAGUACAGGAGAGGUGGGCGGAAUUCGUGGUGUAGCGGUGAAAUGCUUAGAUAUCGCGAAGAACUCUGAUUGCGAAGGCAGUUCACUGGACAGCAACUGACACUGAGGCUCGAAGGUGUGGGUAGCAAACAGGAUUAGAUACCAGAGUAGUC